CUUAACGUGGUAACAUUGUAACAUUGAUUGUCAAAUUGUUGAAUUCCCUAAUAAAAACAUUUUAAACACACAGAAAAUACAUAGUAUGAAGUGAAGAGACACACACCACACUACGGGCUUUCUGGCUACAGAAUCGCCCUGAUCCUUUUGCUGCAAUCCUUUAAAUACCUCAGACCAAGACAAACAUCCCCCGAGAUGAAGACAGAAACUAACAAUUGGUAUUUGAUUAAGUCAGGUCCCAGACCAGGGUAGUUUACACCUCAAAGGGAACAGAAGGUAAUUUACAUGGAAGACCCUGGGAAAGGGACUCCCAUUACAGUAAUCAAAAUAUCUCUUAACUCUUAGGAUCUGUAUUAUCUUUUAGUCUACUUUGUAAGAUUGAGAACAUUGUACCAGUCGCCCUGAGACAAUCCAGAUGACACCAAACAUGACUGUAAAUAUCACUUGCAUUAAUGUAGAAUAUUAUACUAUUGGCAAUUCUGAGUGAAACUAAGUGGAGGGAGUGUGAUGGUGAGGUGUGAACUGCUAGGUGUGGUGCAUCUCCGAUGGCACUGUUACUUAUGCAGGAGGGUGUUCAAGAGCGUGUUCAAAUGUUAAUUAUCAGGAAAGUCCUUUGUUCUCUUAGUGAGAAGUCGUCCCUCAGUCCAGACGAUCCGACUCCAGCCUUACAAAGCAAAUUGUAAUUUUUGGGUGAACUAUUCCUUUAAAUCAUCUGUAAGAUCUAUGUAUUUACAGCAAAGAUAUGCAGUCUAUUGAAAUCUGUGUACAGUAAUUCUCUAGAAAGGGAAUUGCUAUUGCUUUUUCAUUUCAUUAUAUGUUGGAUCAGCAUCAGAAAAGCCUGCGUUCUUUCCCACACAGGAGUGGAUCUACACCCAUGGACAGCAAAUCCGCCAGCAGCAACACUGUCUGUCCAUCCUUACCACUUUUCCUGCCUCCCAGAUACUGCUCGUGCCAUGCAACAUCAGCGACGGCAAGCAGCGUUGGCAGAAAUCUGGCACUCACCUGGAGCACCUGGUGUCUCGUUUCUGCAUGGACAGCGAGAUGGCUCUGGACGGCAUCGAGAGCAGUAAAAUGCUGGUGAUCAGCCCAUGUGAACAGUCAGCACACACUCAGAGAUGGGAGAUGCCUUUCUCGUGAUCCUUCCUCCUUGGCCUCUCCUCACCUUUCAGAGCUCAGCUGGAGUCAAAGAUGGAUAGAGAGGCAGAGAGAGUGAGCAUGUACCUCCAAGAGGGGCUACAUCUGUGUCCUGCUGUGCGGCUAUGUCCACUCCAUUUGUCUCUUCAGCACACCCCAGGUAUGCUGGGAUUGCAGGACGUUCUGACUCAAUGACAUGACCUCAUUACUGCCUCUAUAUUAAUGCUAUCUUCUACAGUUUGUCUGAUAAAAAACAUGUGCUGUCAAGUGCUGAAGGUUUUUGCUCUUAAGGAAAACAAAUUUGAGUGAGGUUUAGAGAUAAUCAGGCAAAUACUUAAAGGUGAAGUGUGUAAUUUUCUAAUAGUAAAAUAUUUUUUCCUAUCCCAGUUUAAUAUGCAGAGUCAACUGUAAGUAAGCUGCUUGUUGGCUGAUUCCCCUGAAGACACGAAGCUGAAUGAAGCUAUUCAGUAGUUAUUAAAAAAACAUACACAAUAAGUGAUUAGAAACAUGAUAGUCAAAUGUGUGGGUUUCAUAAAUGAUAUGGAGUUAAGCAAUGGACUGAUAUUCCUUUAGAAGUCUUUUUGUGUUCAUCUGUAGAUGAACACAAAAUGAAGAUGAAGACAGUUUCUCUGCUUUUCUUUGACAUAAUGAUGUUCUGUGUGGAGACCAGAGGUUAACAGGUCUCCUUAGGAAUUUCAGUCUGGUUCUGCUAGGUGGGGGGAAGUCAAUCCAACGAUCUUGCUUACUCUCAUGGGUUUACAUGUGAGGGUCAGACUGUCCAUCUCUUUGAUUACUUGCCCCAAAUUUGACAAUCUCUUGUCUGAAUUGAAAUUGUCAAUAAUUGUUCUAAUGGUAUUAAUGUUGAAAGCUGUUCUGUUAAAGAGUUGGUUGGUUAGUGGACUUGCUUCUGACUUGUUGCACUAGGAAUUGAUUUACAACAUCCUGUU
ensembl:lncRNA